rnacentral:lncRNA from 1 species
UCUGGCUUCAUUGGCUGGAGAUUCGUGGCUUAAGCUCACGAUCUCAACCUCAUGGCUGCAAGGACUCUUUGAUGGGUUCCAUGGGUUGCUCAUAAGCUGAAAAGGAAGGAAAACGAAAGAAAGUUCAGCAAAAAUACUAUCAAACUAAUAUUACUGUGAAACAUGUUUUAAUUGUCCUGCUUGAUUUUUGCUUCUCAGCAACUCAAUUUCUUUCAUUUUCUUCUGUCAUUAUAUUGCUCAAAACACAUAAAAGCAACACAAACGAAUGAACUUAGCUAGAUUAAAGAAAGAAAAGAAAGAAAGAAGAAAUAGUGAUAGAAGGCAGGGAGCUUGACCCUGUCCAUAUUGGAGUGUUGCGGGAGAGAGAACUCCAUUGUUGGUAUUUAGGUCCUUUUAUAAGUGUGCAUUGUGCAAGUGCCUAGAGAAAAUGGGACACAGCUUUGGAUGUCACGUCUCAAGUGAAUAGGAUAAAUUUUUUGGCUAGAAGUUUGUUAAGAUGUAUGUAAGUUGGGACAAAUAUUUCUUUGAUAUAUUCAACUCCAAUGAUCUUCGGUUGCAUC